rnacentral:rRNA from 1 species
AUUGAACGCUGGCGGCAGGCCUAACACAUGCAAGUCGAACGGUAACAGGAAGCAGCUUGCUGCUUUGCUGACGAGUGGCGGACGGGUGAGUAAUGUCUGGGAACCUGCCUGAUGGAGGGGGAUAACUACUGGAAACGGUAGCUAAUACCGCAUAACGUCGCAAGACCAAAGAGGGGGACCUUAGGGCCUCUUGCCAUCGGAUGUGCCCAGAUGGGAUUAGCUAGUAGGUGGGGUAACGGCUCACCUAGGCGACGAUCCCUAGCUGGUCUGAGAGGAUGACCAGCCACGCUGGAACUGAGACACGGUCCAGACUCCUACGGGAGGCAGCAGUGGGGAAUAUUGCACAAUGGGCGCAAGCCUGAUGCAGCCAUGCCGCGUGUAUGAAGAAGGCCUUCGGGUUGUAAAGUACUUUCAGCGGGGAGGAAGGGAGUAAAGUUAAUACCUUUGCUCAUUGACGUUACCCGCAGAAGAAGCACCGGCUAACUCCGUG